UGGGGAAUUGUUCACAAUGGGCGCAAGCCUGAUGACGCAACGCCGCGUGGAGGAUGAAGACUUUCGGGUCGUAAACUCCUUUCGACCGAGAUGAAUUUCCUCCGACCUAACACGUCGGAGGGGUGACAGUAUCGAGGGAAGAAGCCCCGGCUAACUCUGUGCCAGCAGCCGCGGUAAUACAGGGGGGGCGAGCGUUGUUCGGAAUUACUGGGCGUAAAGGGUUCGUAGGUGGCUGGCUAAGUCAGACGUGAAAUCCCUCAGCUUAACUGGGGAACUGCGUCUGAGACUGGCGAGCUUGAGUGCAGGAGAGGAACGCGGAAUUCCAGGUGUAGCGGUGAAAUGCGUAGAUAUCUGGAGGAACACCGGUGGCGAAGGCGGCGUUCUGGACUGCAACUGACACUGAGGAACGAAAGCCAGGGUAGCAAACGGG
rnacentral:rRNA from 1 species